GUACUGUUAGCUUAGUUGGUAGUGCGUCUGCCUUAUAAGCGCUAGGCCGCGGGUUCGAUUCCCGCCCGGGGCG
rnacentral:tRNA from 1 species